CACAUGCAAGUCGAACGGUGAACACGGAGCUUGCUCUGUGGGAUCAGUGGCGAACGGGUGAGUAACACGUGAGCAACCUGCCCCUGACUCUGGGAUAAGCGCUGGAAACGGCGUCUAAUACUGGAUAUGUGACGUGAUCGCAUGGCCUGCGUCUGGAAAGAUUUAUUGGUUGGGGAUGGGCUCGCGGCCUAUCAGCUUGUUGGUGAGGUAAUGGCUCACCAAGGCGUCGACGGGUAGCCGGCCUGAGAGGGUGACCGGCCACACUGGGACUGAGACACGGCCCAGACUCCUACGGGAGGCAGCAGUGGGGAAUAUUGCACAAUGGGCGCAAGCCUGAUGCAGCAACGCCGCGUGAGGGAUGACGGCCUUCGGGUUGUAAACCUCUUUUAGCAGGGAAGAAGCGAAAGUGACGGUACCUGCAGAAAAAGCGCCGGCUAACUACGUGCCAGCAGCCGCGGUAAUACGUAGGGCGCAAGCGAUAUCCGGAAUUAUUGGGCGUAAAGAGCUCGUAGGCGGUUUGUCGCGUCUGCUGUGAAAUCCGGAGGCUCAACCUCCGGCCUGCAGUGGGUACGGGCAGACUAGAGUGCGGUAGGGGAGAUUGGAAUUCCUGGUGUAGCGGUGGAAUGCGCAGAUAUCAGGAGGAACACCGAUGGCGAAGGCAGAUCUCUGGGCCGUAACUGACGCUGAGGAGCGAAAGGGUGGGGAGCAAACAGGCUUAGAUACCCUGGUAGUCCACCCCGUAAACGUUGGGAACUAGUUGUGGGGUCCAUUCCACGGAUUCCGUGACGCAGCUAACGCAUUAAGUUCCCCGCCUGGGGAGUACGGCCGCAAGGCUAAAACUCAAAGGAAUUGACGGGGACCC
rnacentral:rRNA from 1 species